rnacentral:lncRNA from 1 species
UUCUUCAUUUUAUGAAAACUAUCGCAAUUAUACGCGAAUAAGUAUGAUCCAAUGAAAGUCUGUGUUAAUUCCAUCUUUUGGCAUUAGAAGCAAAAUGACUAGAAUCCACGGAGACCGAGAUAUGUUUUUGCAAAGAAUAAAAAAGACAGUAGAUAAUUGCCUCAGAUUGGGAAAAUCAGAUAUUUUUAACAGAUAUUAGUCCAGAAAUAAUAAAAACUGUACAAAAU